GUUUUUGUGGUGUAAUUUUUGCACGAGAGAUUUUCAAUUUUUAGGAAUAAUUAAAUAAUGUUAUCAAAAAUG